rnacentral:rRNA from 1 species
GACGAACGCUGGCGGCGUGCUUAGCACAUGCAAGUCGAACGGAAAGGCCCUGCUUUUGUGGGGUGCUCGAGUGGCGAACGGGUGAGUAACACGUGAGUAACCUGCCCUUGACUUUGGGAUAACUUCAGGAAACUGGGGCUAAUACCGGAUAGGAGCUCCUGCUGCAUGGUGGGGGUUGGAAAGUUUCGGCGGUUGGGGAUGGACUCGCGGCUUAUCAGCUUGUUGGUGGGGUAGUGGCUUACCAAGGCUUUGACGGGUAGCCGGCCUGAGAGGGUGACCGGCCACAUUGGGACUGAGAUACGGCGCAGACUCCUACGGGAGGCAGCAGUGGGGAAUAUUGCACAAUGGGCGGAAGCCUGAUGCAGCAACGCCGCGUGCGUGAUGACGGCCUUCGGGUUGUAAACCGCUUUCGCCUGUGCCGAAGCGUGAGUGACGGUAAUGGGUAAAGAAGCACCGGCUAACUACGUG